ACCUGGCUGGCUCAGUCGGUGGAGCAUAGGAUUCUUGAUCUCAGGAUUGUGAGUUCGAGCCCCACAUCGGGUG
rnacentral:tRNA from 1 species